UACGUAGGGUGCGAGCGUUGUUCGGAUUCAUUGGGCGUAAAGGGUGCGUAGGCGGCGCGGUAAGUCGGGUGUGAAAUCUCGGAGCUUAACUCCGAAACUGCAUUCGAUACUACCGUGCUUGAGGACUGGAGAGGAGACUGGAAUUUACGGUGUAGCGGUGAAAUGCGUAGAUAUCGUAAGGAAGACCAGUGGCGAAGGCGGGUCUCUGGACAGUUCCUGACGCUGAGGCACGAAGGUCAGGGGAGCAAACGGG
rnacentral:rRNA from 1 species